GAUGAACGCUGGCGGCGUGCCUAAUACAUGCAAGUCGAGCGAACAGACGAGGAGCUUGCUCCUUUGACGUUAGCGGCGGACGGGUGAGUAACACGUGGAUAACCUACCUAUAAGACUGGGAUAACUUCGGGAAACCGGAGCUAAUACCGGAUAACAUGUUGAACCGCAUGGUUCAACAGUGAAAGACGGUCUUGCUGUCACUUAUAGAUGGAUCCGCGCCGCAUUAGCUAGUUGGUAAGGUAACGGCUUACCAAGGCAACGAUGCGUAGCCGACCUGAGAGGCUGAUCGGCCACACUGGAACGGAGACACGGUCAAGACUCCUACGGGAGGCAGCAGUAGGGAAUCUUCCGCAAUGGGCGAAAGCCUGACGGAGCAACGCCGCGUGAGUGAAGAAGGUCUUCGGAGCGGAAAGCUCUGUUAUUAGGGAAGAACAGAUGUGUAAGUAACUAUGCACGUCUUGACGGUACCUAAUCAGAAAGCCACGGCUAACUACGUG
rnacentral:rRNA from 1 species